AUGUCCCUCGUGUUCAUCCACAGAGCAGAGAUAACAGAUACACUUCUGAUCAGUGCGACAGAACAUCUUCAUCACCUCAUCAUGAAUGGAGCAGAUGUUCUCCUGCAGGUUCUUGGAGGGUUCCACCAGCUUGUGUUUCUUGAAUGCAUCUGCAUCCAAAUGAGGCUGAAGGUGUUUCUCACAGUAAGAGGCCAGACAGAUCAAACAGGACUUGAUGGCUUUGAGUUUUCUUCCAGAACAAACAUCACAGGACACAUCUUCAGUGUGAAGGUCUCCCUACACUGAGGACAGCUGUGGAUUUUCUCCUCUUCAUCCCAGAAUCCUUCAAUACACUUCAUGCAGUAGCUGUGUCCACAGGGAAUAGUCACCGGAUCCUUCAGCAGAUCCAGACAGAUGGAACAGCUGAAGGUUUCUUGAUCCAGAUCCACUCCUUUCUGCGCCAUUUCUCCUCUCUGACACACAGACUGUGUGAGUUUCACUUCUUCAGAAACCAGCCUGACUCUGAUCCUCCAAUCAGAUGGUUUCACAGUCACCUCAGCCAAUCAGCUUCUUCCUGUUGGUUACACCCAUCAUGACAGAGGAGGAGCUACAGAUCAGGAACCUUAAAGAGGAAGGCUUUUGACGUCUUUUGAAAAGUCAGCAAGUGAGACUCUGGAUCUCUGAAGUGACAUUUAUGACACUAAAUUGAGAGAAAAAGACAGAAAAAUCCUAUUGUUUUUAUGAAGGAAGUGCUAAAACUAUAACAUUAUAGACUUUGUAUUUGAUCAUAAAACAAUGCAGAAUUUAUUUUAUUUAUCUUAACAGCAGCAGUAAGUAGAGAAAAGGAUGACGGCUAUAUAAAAUCUUGUUUAUUUUUUCAUCAGUGUUUCACUACCUUCCAGAAGGAGUUCAUAAAUACACAGAUUUCCUUCAUUUAAUGUCAGUUGUUUCACAUUGAACAACAGGAACAUUGUGGACAUCAUUUCCCACAAUGCAUUGUUUUCUUGUCAUCAAGGCGGCUUAAAGAUUUUUUUUUUUUAUUGGCAAAAGAUGUCACAUUAAAUGUAAAGAGACAUAGGAAAUUAAAGACACACAUUUUAAACAAAAAAAAGACAAGAAUAAAAUUAAAUAAGUAAAUAAAAUACAAAGACAUAAUGAGUAAUAAAUUAAGGGUUAUCAAAAAGCUGCAGAUCACAUAUAAUAUCUUGAAGUUUCAGAGCAUGUUUAUUUUCCAUGAAAAUAAUAAGCAGAGUUCUUUAUGAAAUGUAAA
rnacentral:lncRNA from 1 species